CAGUGAACCAAAACAACAGUUAUCAAAGCUUACAUAUUGACCACAAUGAUGUCUAGGAAAAAGACUGAAUGAGUUGGAAGCAAAAAUACCCAAGAAAAGGGAGACUGGAAUCAUUAGACUAGCAUCUCAAGAAAAAUAAGAUGCACAACUUUCACCUCAGCCUGGAAGGCAGCUUUCCUUACACUGCCUGAACAAUGACUGUGAAUGUUCCUCAGGUAUAUUAAUUCUUCAGAAGGGAGACCAUCCUUAACAGAAGAAUGUAAUCCUCUGCUUCCUUAUAACUUGCUAGACACACUGAGAGUGAAACUGCACAUUAUGAAACACCUGACUCAGAAUGCUUGCCUGGAGACCUC